UCGGUUGAUGCAGCCAUUCGCUAGGAAUUAACCGAUUCCUCUGCAUCCUCUUGCAUCGGUCGAUGUAAUCAUUCGAACUUAUAUUUCGUACGAGUGUAAGUAUAAAGGUUGCAAAUGAAAAUUGAGAUGCGGGCGUCAGUUAAGAAUAUUACAAUUGUGCGUGGGAUUAAUAUCUUGAAGACUAUAGUUUCUUUGAUAUUGACAGAAUCGAAGGUUUCGUAGUUUCUGGUGGAAUAUCAUUUCAAGAUUUUCAAGUUAAUGCAGCGAACAAAUUCCGUCGGUCUCUAGUUUCUCUUCAAAAGUCCAAUACAUAAAGUGUGACGAGUAUAUGGAAAUUUAUACAAGGGAAGAACGACAAGACAUCCAAACCAGCUGGUUGUUGAAGCGAGCAAAACUCUCGUAGAAAGAAGACUAAAAAGAAAGCACCCCACUGACCUCACUAAAGAAAUAAAAUAGUCAAACUCCAAGAUGGUAUCCUCCUGAGGUGUCACGUCGAAGACGCGGGGAGUGGUGAAAUUCAGAAAUCUCGUGAUCUCGCGUAGGUUUAAACGUUUCACAAGCAAGAGUGUCCAGAGCUGAUUUUGGGAAGUUUUAUAUACUACGGGUUUGGGUCUUAUGGAGGAGGUGUUGCCAGGUCCCACGUCGGAGGUGGCCAUACUGUUACCGUCUUCUAACCCUGGGACAUUGUCUACGUUGUUGUUUCGAUGACCUGCAGGAUAUUCGUUAGGCCCCCCUAGUUUUUCUAUUGCUAAUUUAUGGUUCUAUGAUAUUAGCAACGACAAAUUAUGCAAUACUUAACAAGUAAUACUAACUGAUCAACGAACUAAUUUCUACCGGAUUUUACAACAAAAAAAAACCAAACUAAAAAUCUUUCCUCCCUAUCAUUAAGCGUUUAUCACGUUACAAACGAACCAAAGUUCGCCUCUCGUGAAAGCUUGUUAAAACACUUAUUAGCAAUCCAUAAACUCUGUAACGAUGGAGUAAGCAAAACCUUGCAGCGUCCCGGGAAGAUCCGUGUAAAAUGUUGCCGGCCGGGGGACAUAAGUGAUCUAUUUGCGGACUACCGAUCACGAAACGAACGAACAUGCAGCGAGAUUACGUUGUCAGCCAGGCUAUAACAAAGUGCACCGCGGAAUACCGGCGCGAGUUAAUAAACUCACUGUGAGUCGCCGCGCGGAUAACUGCGCGGCGACCUUGCUGCCGGACAAGCUUUAAGCAGCUGAUCGUUAUAAUCGAUAGGACGGCCAGAAGUAUGCAAAAUACGCGGGCAAUCUCUUCUGCGAAACUGGUGGAGCCCGAGGUCGAACAAAAAACGCGAGCCAACGAGCACCAGUUGCCAUGGACGUGCGAGAAUUCAAUGCGUUUCGCGUGCAGUAGAUAUAGUAGCCAAGGUCGCAAACUUGAAAAGUUUAAGCAGAUAAAUUUAACGAAUCACGCUUGUUUCGAUAACCCUGAUUUGCGAUCAAUGUAAUUGGUAACUGUACGAGAUCUGUUUGUUUGCAAUACUUGCAAUUAAGUGGAAUAUGUAAUUGGAUU